rnacentral:rRNA from 1 species
AAAUUGAAGAGUUUGAUCAUGGCUCAGAUUGAACGCUGGCGGCAGGCCUAACACAUGCAAGUCGAACGGUAACAGGAAGCAGCUUGCUGCUUCGCUGACGAGUGGCGGACGGGUGAGUAAUGUCUGGGAAACUACCUGAUGGAGGGGGAUAACUACUGGAAACGGUAGCUAAUACCGCAUAACGUCGCAAGACCAAAGAGGGGGACCUUCGGGCCUCUUGCCAUCGGAUGUGCCCAGAUGGGAUUAGCUAGUAGGUGGGGUAACGGCUCACC